rnacentral:sRNA from 1 species
AUUCUGCCCAAGCGGGGAAGGAUGAGAAGCUUCGACCAAGGUUCGACUUGAGCGCCAGCGAGAGAGCGUUGCCGCAGGCAACGACCCG